rnacentral:rRNA from 1 species
GAUGAACGCUGGCGGCGUGCUUAACACAUGCAAGUCGAACGAACGGAGGAGAGCUUGCUCUCCAAAGUUAGUGGCGGACGGGUGAGUAACGCGUGGGUAACCUGCCCUAUGCAGGGGGAUAACGUUUGGAGACGAACGCUAAUACCGCAUAAACUAUCGAGUUUCGCAUGAAACUUAUAGCAAAGAUUUAUCGGCAUAGGAUGGACCCGCGUUGGAUUAGCUAGUUGGUGAGAUAACAGCCCACCAAGGCGACGAUCCAUAGCCGGCCUGAGAGGGUGAACGGCCACAUUGGGACUGAGACACGGCCCAAACUCCUACGGGAGGCAGCAGUGGGGAAUAUUGCACAAUGGGCGCAAGCCUGAUGCAGCAACGCCGCGUGAAGGAUGAAGGUCUUCGGAUUGUAAACUUCUAUCAGUAGGGAAGAAUAAAUGACGGUACCUAACUAAGAAGCUCCGGCUAACUACGUGCCAGCAGCCGCGGUAACAC